rnacentral:tRNA from 1 species
GCUGCCGUGGCUGAAUGGUUAUGGAGUUUGUCUUCUAAGUGAUUGGUUCUGGGUUCGAUUCCUAUCAGCUGCA